rnacentral:rRNA from 1 species
GUCUGCAGCCAUACUUACCUGAACAUGUUCAACCUUGUUCAGUCUCAGAAGCUAAGUGGGUUUGGGCCUGGUUAGUUCCUCCAUGGGAGAAAUAAAGAUUGAGGAGGCUGCUAUCU